rnacentral:rRNA from 1 species
UACGUAGGGAGCAAGCGUUGUUCGGAUUUACUGGGCGUAAAGGGCGCGUAGGCGGCGCUGUAAGUCAGUUGUGAAAUCUCCGGGCUUAACUCGGAAAGGUCAACUGAUACUGUGCGACUAGAGUGCAGAAGGGGCAACUGGAAUUCUCGGUGUAGCGGUGAAAUGCGUAGAUAUCGAGAGGAACACCUGCGGCGAAGGCGGGUUGCUGGGCUGACACUGACGCUGAUGCGCGAAAGCCAGGGGAGCGAACGGG